GGAGAGGUGUCCGAGUACGGCUUAAGGAGCACGCCUGGAAAGCGUGUUUAGGUUAAACUAACGGAGGUUCGAAUCCUCUCCUCUCCGCCA
rnacentral:tRNA from 1 species